rnacentral:rRNA from 1 species
UACGUAGGGUGCAAGCGUUGUCCGGAAUUAUUGGGCGUAAAGGGCUCGUAGGCGGUCCAUCACGUCGGGAGUGAAAAGCUGGGGCUUAACCCCAGUCCUGCUUCCGAUACGGGUGGACUAGAGGUAGGCAGGGGAGAACGGAAUUCCUGGUGUAGCGGUGAAAUGCGCAGAUAUCAGGAGGAACACCGGUGGCGAAGGCGGCAUCCUGGACCGAUACUGACGCUGAGGAGCGAAAGCCAGGGGAGCAAACGGG